GGGGGCUAGCGUAUCCGGAUUUACUGGGCGUAAAGGGUGCGUAGGCGGUCUUUCAAGUCAGGAGUGAAAGGCUACGGCUCAACCGUAGUAAGCUCUUGAAACUGGGAGACUUGAGUGCAGGAGAGGAGGGUGGAAUUCCUAGUGUAGCGGUGAAAUGCGUAGAUAUUAGGAGGAACACCAGUUGCGAAGGCGGCUCUCUGGACUGUAACUGACGCUGAGGCACGAAAGCGUGGGGAGCAAACAGGAUUAGAUACCCUGGUAGUCCACGCUGUAAACGA
rnacentral:rRNA from 1 species